rfam:Triticum aestivum genome assembly, contig: Triticum_aestivum_CS42_TGACv1_scaffold_222363_3B
GAAAUACUCCCUCCGUCCAAAAAUACUUGUCAUCAAAAUGGAUAAAAAACGAUGUAUCUAGAACUAAAAUACAUCUAGAUACAUUCUCUUUUAUUAAUUUUGAUGACAAGUAUUUCCGGACGGAGGGAGUAGUAU